rnacentral:rRNA from 1 species
AACGAACGCUGGCGGCAUGCCUAACACAUGCAAGUCGAACGAGACCUUCGAGUCUAGUGGCGCACGGGUGCGUAACGCGUGGGAACCUGCCCUUAGGUUCGGAAUAACUCCCCGAAAGGGGUGCUAAUACCGGAUAAUGUCUUCGGACCAAAGAUUUAUCGCCUUUGGAUGGGCCCGCGUUGGAUUAGCUAGUUGGUAGGGUAAAAGCCUACCAAGGCGACGAUCCAUAGCUGGUCUGAGAGGAUGAUCAGCCACACUGGGACUGAGACACGGCCCAGAUUCCUACGGGAGGCAGCAGUGGGGAAUAUUGGACAAUGGGCGAAAGCCUGAUCCAGCAAUGCCGCGUGAGUGAUGAAGGCCUUAGGGUUGUAAAGCUCUUUUACCCGGGAUGAUAAUGACAGUACCGGGAGAAUAAGCUCCGGCUAACUCCGUG